CAGCCGCCGCGGUAAUACGGAGGGUGCAAGCGUUAAUCGGAAUUACUGGGCGUAAAGCGUGCGUAGGCGGUUCGUUAAGUCUGUUGUGAAGGCCCCGGGCUCAACCUGGGAAUGGCAAUGGAUACUGGCGAGCUAGAGUGUGUCAGAGGAUGGUGGAAUUCCCGGUGUAGCGGUGAAAUGCGUAGAGAUCGGGAGGAACAUCAGUGGCGAAGGCGGCCAUCUGGGACAACACUGACGCUGAGGCACGAAAGCGUGGGGAGCAAACAGGAUUAGAUACCCGAGUAGUCCCUGUCUCUUAUAC
rnacentral:rRNA from 1 species